rnacentral:tRNA from 1 species
GGGCGGUUAACUCAGCGGUAGAGUGCCAUCUUCACACGGUGGAAGUCACUGGUUCGAUCCCAGUACCGCCCACCA